GGAAUUCUGUCGUCUGGGAACGGCUGGUUUCGCGGUCAGACGCCGAGGGCCCUCGAAGUCCCUAGCAACGGCUGCGGAGAGAGAUUCCACCUAGGUCCGUGCAGGUUACAAAUGGCAACCAGAACAGGGACUCCAAGCACGCCCAACUAGCAGCAUCCAAUCAUGGGACUUCAAAGACGUGAAUGAAGAAGGUCUGCUGGAGCAGAGGAACUGAAACUGACUAGGCGAAAGGGGACCCGGGGAAGAGUCUGCCGGCAGCAGAUAUAAGUCUGUAAAAUCGGAUGGACCGCCAAUCGGAGAAUGAGAGCUGCCCAGCCUGGUCUUACAUUCUUUCAAUUAAUACAUAAACAGAAAGGGGGAUAUGCAGGGAGCCGAAGGCCCAUGGGACGUGACCAACUCAGCAUUCCACUGGAGGCUAUAUGAUCAAACAGCAAACUGUUUAUCAUGAAUACAGGAUGUGGGCAAACUCAGGACUGCUCCUGCCAACAUAAGGUUUGCUGGAGGCAAUCACUCCCUGGCACGGAGGUUAUCUACUGCGACAUCUAGAGAAUGCAGUCCUGCAAGCCUACUCUGAACUGAGCAGCUGACCCCUUCUUCCACCCCCCCCCACCCUCCUAUCUCUUUUGCCUAAUAAAUACGGAGGGCUGUGUAAAGCUCAGGGCCCUUGUCCACUAGAGGCAAGGUGCUCCCUGACCCCUUCUCCCAAAUAUACUCUUUUGUCUCCUGUCUUUAUUCCCACGUUCACCCCCAUUUGUGCAGUCCCAUAGGUCCAUGUGGGUUACGGCCCGCCACCACGCCUGGCUAAUUUUUGUAUUUUUAGUAGAGAUCGGAUUUCACCAUCUUGGUCAGGCUGGCCUUGAACUCCUGAUCUCAUCACACACCCGCCUCAGCCUCCCCACAUGCGGUUAUUAUAGUUGAUA
rnacentral:lncRNA from 1 species